rnacentral:rRNA from 1 species
AUGUCCGGGGCUGAAGUUCGCACCACUUUCCUAGAGGAUCUUGCAGAGGAUUACAAUGGGGACACUUAUCACUUGAUUGCCAGAAAUUGUAACCAUUUCACAGCUGACGUCUGCAAGCACUUCACGGGAAAGCCAACUCCUGGAUGGGUGAAUCGACUUUCCAGAUUAGCACUAGGUUCCAUCCGCAACUCUGUGCUGACUGAAAUCAUCAAGGUUUCAGCGGUUAGAGGUGAAACUGCACACCUUGAAUUCUCUGAUGCUAGCUACAUUGAUGUUGCUUCCAGUCCUUAUGCAAGGCAAUUGGCGGAAAAUGGAUGGUUGCCCACAUCACGUAAAGCAGAUAGCGAAUGGUGGAUGGAAGGCUACCUCACAGGGAACCAGGGCCACGACUUGCAAUGGGCAACCGGUGGCGAAUGGAGGGCUUCCUCGACGGGUACAUCAACUAUUAGCUCUUAA